rnacentral:rRNA from 1 species
AUUGAACGCUGGCGGCAGGCCUAACACAUGCAAGUCGAACGAGUGGCGGACGGGUGAGUAAUGUCUGGGAAACUGCCUGAUGGCGGGGGAUAACUACUGGAAACGGUAGAUAAUAAUGCAUACCAUCAGAUGUUCCCAGGUGGGAUUAGCUUGUUGGUGGGGUAACGGCUCACCAAGGCGACGAUCCCUAGCUGGUCUGAGAGGAUGACCAGCCACACUGGAACUGAGACACGGUCCAGAAUCCUACGGGAGGCAGCAGUGGGGAAUAGUGCACAAUGGGCGCAAGCCUGAUGCAGCCAUGCCGCGUGUAUGAAGAAGGCCUUCGGGUUGUAAAGUACUUUCAGCGGGGAGGCGUUACCCGCAGAAGAAGCACCGGCUAACUCCGUGCCAGCAGCCGCGGUAAUUC